rnacentral:rRNA from 1 species
UACGUAGGCAGCAAGCGUUGUUCGGAGUUACUGGGCGUAAAGGGUGCGUAGGCGGCCCUGUAAGUAUGGUGUGAAAUCUCCCGGCUUAACUGGGAGGGUGCGCUAUAGACUGCGGGGCUCGAGUGUGGGAGAGGAAAGUGGAAUUCCUGGUGUAGCGGUGAAAUGCGUAGAUAUCAGGAGGAACACCGGUGGUGUAAACGGCUUUCUGGACCAUAACUGACGCUGAGGCACGAAAGCGUGGGUAGCAAACAGGAUUAGAAAACCCGUGU